GGAGGUGUGGCUGAGCGGUUGAAGGCACCGGUUUCGAAAACCGGCAUCCGGGAAACCGGAUCGUGAGUUCAAAUCUCACCACCUCCG
rnacentral:tRNA from 1 species